AGAGUUUGAUCAUGGCUCAGAACGAACGCUGGCGGCAUGCCUAACACAUGCAAGUCGAACGCUUCUCUUCGGAGAGGAGUGGCGCACGGGUGAGUAACGCGUGGGAACCUGCCCAGGGGUGGGGGAUAACCGAUGGAAACGUCGGCUAAUACCGCAUACGUCCCCGGAGCGAUCCGGGGGGAAAGAUUUAUCGCCCAUGGAGGGGCCCGCGUCGGAUUAGCUAGUUGGUGGGGUAACGGCCUACCAAGGCGAUGAUCCGUAGCUGGUCUGAGAGGAUGAUCAGCCACACUGGGACUGAGACACGGCCCAGACUCCUACGGGAGGCAGCAGUGGGGAAUAUUGGACAAUGGGCGCAAGCCUGAUCCAGCAAUGCCGCGUGAGUGAUGAAGGCCUUAGGGUUGUAAAGCUCUUUCGGCGGGGACGAUGAUGACGGUACCCGCAGAAGAAGCCCCGGCUAACUUCGUGCCAGCAGCCGCGGUAAUACGAAGGGGGCGAGCGUUGUUCGGAAUUACUGGGCGUAAAGGGCGCGCAGGCGGCCUCUCAAGUCAGAUGUGAAAGCCCUGGGCUCAACCUAGGAAUGGCAUUUGGGACUGUGAGGCUAGAGAUCGGGAGAGGAGAGUGGAAUUCCCAGUGUAGAGGUGAAAUUCGUAGAUAUUGGGAAGAACACCGGGCGAAGGCGGCUCUCUGGACCGAUACUGACGCUGAGGCGCGAAAGCGUGGGGAGCAAACAGGAUUAGAUACCCCCGUAGUCC
rnacentral:rRNA from 1 species